UUAUGGCCAAUUAUUAGCUUGGUCCUGAGAUGCCCGACCCUUCUCACCUAACCAACAAUAUCAGCUCUCUUGGUGUCUAUACUUUUAUGGAAUAUGAUGUUAAUAAGCAGGCCAUGCAUGAAACUCACCUUAAUGCAUUUUACUAUUUGAUUGACUUUUUAAAGUUACACUAUUGCCUCACAAAUACUUAACCAACUUAAAACUACUACUACUAAUAGAAACCCUGUAUGCACCAGAAGGGACUAAUAUUCCUAAUCACUCAAAACAUAUCUCCAAUUACCAUUAAAUAUAGAUAUAUAUCAAGCCAACCAAACAAAUCAUUUCAUUUCUCUCAUUCAAAGAUAACCUAAAGAUACUAGCACAUCAAACAUGAAAGAAAGCGAAACUGUGGAAUUUGGUUUCAAAUUUAUUAUCACAUAGGAAGGCACAUAUUGCAUCAUCCUGAUAAGAUUGGAAUGGCAGACACAAGCAAGAAAACAAGCUAAUUUUUUUAACAGUUCAGAGAUUAAAGUAGUUCAAAAUCUAUAAUGGCAAGUAAAAUGAAUUUAAGCGAACAAGUUAUUUGAUAGAGAGCUUCACUUCAUCUUUUUAAUUCCAUUUGAUGAGAGAAUUAGAAGACCUUUUCGUUGUUAGCAGCCAAAAUAAAACUUUACAUGAUCCAGUAGUGCCUUCUUCUGAGCUUUCAGAAUAUAUAAAAACAGGGUUUAUCAUAUUUCAUGAAUUAAUGUUAUCAAAUUUCAUUCCUGUGGAAACUAUGUAUAUAAAUAAAACAAAAUAAGAAUAAAUUGUAAUAGAUUAAUACAUGUGAUUAAAAGUAUUAAUUGAUUAAUUUGCUUCUAAAAAUCUUACAUUUCAUCUUAAUUCCAGAAUGCUCCUUUACUUUUUAUAUAAAAAGAAUCAUUGCAAAAAUUCCAUGAAUACACAACAUUUUUACUAAAUUAAGCAUGCAUAAAUAAAAUCAACGCCAGAACAUAAUUAAAUCCAUGUCUUUUUUUAGCAUGCGUACAUACACAUAAGCAUAUUUGCAUAUCACAUCAUGUAAUACACAUGUCCUAAAACAUUCUCAUUCGAUCACCUAAAGUAAGUAAAUAUAGAAACCUUGUUUUCAUCACUCACUAGUAUCAAUUUGAUCUUUCUAUUUCCUAGCUUUAGCUAAUAUACCUUGGUUAACAGAAAGUAGAGUGAACUUACGCGUUAUCCGAGAAGCAACCGAUAUGAUAAGCUUCAGGGGCAUUAGAACCUUGAUCUAAUAUAAGAAAUCAUUUCAAUUAGAGACAAAGAAAUCGAUAACUUUACCAUUCACUGUCUGAGAGCAGAAAGUGUGCCGCAAAAGCAUUAGAAG
rnacentral:lncRNA from 1 species